GUAUUUUUAAGGAUCGCUACAGAAUCAAAACCCUCUGAAGUUGAACUAGAGAAAGAUACAUGACUUGUCUAAAUCGCCCCACAUCCCUCUUCCACCGCUCUGAUCACUCUCUCCUUGUGCCGCCGUCGGCUAUUACUUCCGGAUUUUCUCAAAUUCUUCAUCAAUCUUCGUCUCGGUCUUCCGCUAUUCGAUCAAUUCCUCAAAUGUCCUCUCCAGUCCCUUCUUCUACGGUUUCUACAGUUACUAUUUCCUACCCUGAACUCAAGGAUCCAACUGCUGAUAUUUCUGAUCAAAUUGAGCGCGGAUUUGGGCCCAAUGGCCUCGGAAUUCUAUCCAUAUCAGAGGUUCCGGGGUAUACUUUACUGCGUCGCAAUCUUCUACACCUUGCACCUAGAUUGGCAAGUCUUCCGGAAGAGGUGAAGCAGGAGAUAGAAGACCCUCAUAGUAGGUACAACAUUGGAUGGAGUCAUGGAAAAGAAAAGCUCGAGUCUGGAAAACUAGAUAUGUUGAAAGGCUCCUUCUACGCCAAUCCUAUACACGACGUACCUACAAAUGAACUAUCACUUGUUAAAAGGUACCCUUCUUACUGUGGACCAAAUAUAUGGCCUCGUGCUGCUCUGCCGGAACUUGAACAUGCUUUUAAAGCUCUUGGAAAGUUGAUUCUGGAAGUUGGGUUGCUAUUGGCAUAUCACUGUGAUCGUUAUGUAUCAAAUGGGUUCAAGAUGCACGAAGAUGGAAGUUUACAACAAGUACUUCUUCGAUCUCGAUGUCACAAAGGCCGUCUUCUUUACUAUUUUCCUGCACAUCAGUGUACUUCCACUGACGAUAGAGAGUCUAUGUCGUCAUGGUGUGGAUGGCAUACAGAUCAUGGUUCUCUUACAGGUCUUACUUGUGGCAUGUUCACAAGAGAUGGUAUGGAAUUACCUUGCCCCGACAGUGCUGCUGGCCUUUAUGUAAAAACGCGUUCAGGUCAAAUAGUCAAAGUACAUAUCCUUAUGCUCAUGAUCAUAGUAGGUUAUAUAUGGGGAAGAUGAAAUAGCAUAUCAAAUCGGUGAAACAACCGAGAUACUUUCAAGAGGUCAGCUCUGUGCAACACCACAUUGCGUCCAGGCACCAAAAGGGGAGGCAGCAUCUGGUGUUGAACGUUCAACAUUUGCAUUAUUUAUGCAGCCUGACUGGGAUGAAAAGCUUAUUUUUCCAGAGCUAAUAAAUAUUCACGAGUUUAUCACGCCUAAUGGAUCAAUUUCUUUUGGAGAUUAUACAGAAAAAGUUCUGGACAAGUAUUAUGACCUCAAUGCAUGAAACCUUAAGCACAAUAGUUAAAAUGUUCGACCCAAAGCUGGAGGUUCUGUACAUUUUUUUUUCGUACUUGCAAACUGUUCGAAGACAUCUUGUAAUUAACUAUUGAAAAUCUUCUUCGAUAUUAAUGGUGGAAUCACCUGAUAGAUUGGAUUUCAUUUUUCUCAGCCUCCCAAUAAGCUGCAUGAACUGGUUUCAUUCUGCUA